CGGAAAACUCGAGUCAGUCUGUCAGUCAUUCGUCGUUAAUGUCGGGCAUAAAAUGAAGCCUGUCGCCCGAUGCGAGCAGUGCGGUGCGAAAAAUUUCUUGUUGAUAUGUUCGAGGUGUACGUCCGUGUAUUAUUGUAGCAGGGAACACCAGGCGAUGGACUGGAAAAACCACAAACCCCACUGCCAAAACAUAGACAACAAAGAGAAAUCCGACGAGUCGCUCCCGAGGAAGUCGCUCACAGUCGAGUCGGAAGGCGUAUCCGUCAUGAACAACGCAAAGACGGAAAUGCCCAAUUUCGAUUUCGGCACCCUGUGCAACCUGUUCUCGUCAUGCGGGCCCGCCGGCGUCGAGGACACCAGGCCGAUCAGGAACGACAACCAUUCCAUGGACACGUCCCGGACGGCGGAUCGUUUCGGACGGCUCAGGGCCAACGAAGACGACGAAGACCUCGUCUGCCGCACGGUCAUCGAUCACAUGAACGCCUACGGUGUCUGCGUCGUCGACAACUUCCUAGGCACCGCCCGCGGCAAGGCCGUGCUCCGCGAGGUGAUAGAAAUGCACAAAAACGGCAAGUUUGAGGAUGGACAGCUCAUGAGCAACAACCUCAAAGCGGAUCACAAGACCAUCAGGAGCGACCAGAUCACAUGGAUUGACGGCAACGAGUCAUUCUGCACCAACAUAGGCAUGCUCAUCAAAGAGGUGGACAGAGUCGUCAUGAGGGCAAACAACAUGUCAAACAACGGACAAAUGGGAUCUUACACCAUCAACGGAAGGACCAAGGCUAUGGUAGCGUGCUAUCCUGGUAAUGGUGCUCAUUACGUUAAACAUGUAGAUAAUCCAAAUAAUGAUGGCCGAUGUAUAACCGCCAUAUAUUACCUUAAUCAAGACUGGAAUGUAACUGAAAACGGUGGACUUCUGCGGAUAUUUCUUGAAGGACAGGAUACAGUUGCAGACAUAGAGCCUUUGUUUGAUAGGAUAUUAUUUUUUUGGUCUGACCGUAGAAAUCCCCAUGAAGUUCAUCCAGCCUACAAAACUAGGUAUGCGAUAACGAUAUGGUAUUUUGAUGCAGAAGAAAGAAAAAGGGCUUUCAUCAGAUAUCGAGAAACUGGUAGCACAGUCUGUGCUUAAAUUUUAAUUGGACAAAAUUGAAACGCUGAAAAUCUACAAACGAAUGCUGAAACAAAAUAUAUAUCGAAACCUUUUAGCGAACAUUAAUCACGAUGAAAUAUUUCAUUAUUAAAUGAAUCAGAUUUUAUAAGGCAUCUAAAGGCAAACAUUUUACCAACAUCGUUGUUUCUAGUCUAGUGUAAACAUUUGUAUUAAAACCAGCAUUGAGAAACAGAAAUUAUUUUUAUAAAUCCUACGAGCAUGCAACAUAGCGUAUUAUAUUAAAUUUCUAUCAUAAUGACUAUGUACAUGUGCAAUAAGAUGUUAUUUUUAAAACCAAUGGUGUUUUAAUGGCAUUUGACCUGACCUUCCUGAAAUACUAAAAUCAUUUUACUGUAGCAACGACUCUUUAAAUUUAGAAUGUUGGCCUGAUUUCCCCAUUUUAUGUUACAUAAAAAUAUGUAUAGUUCAUAUAUAUAUCUAACCAGUUGCCCUAUUAUAACAAAUCCUUUGUAAAAUAGAAUUUGGUAAGGAAUUGUUCAAUUUAAUCAUACUCAAGGAAAAGUGAGACUGUUUGACAAAUUAAUUCUAGUAACUAAACAAGAGUUCCAAUGAGUUAUUUACUACCAUAUUAAGAGGAUAAUAGAUAGGAAGGAAAUACAAAUGUAUAUUUUCUUAAUUCAUUUAUUAUGGGCAAAAUAAAGUUGUGAUAAAUGUUGUUGUCAUUGCUUAAGCAGUAUCUGACUGUUAGCUGAUAACAGCUCAACCAAUUUGUAAGAUAUAUUUAUUGUACAUUACAUCAUUUAUUGAUUUUGAUCAUCCUGAAUGUAUAUAAAUUAAACUUGUAUGCUUUUAUUGGAAAUUAUAAUUAGUUAUAGUCCUCUGAAGAAUGAUAUUUUAUAAUGAAUGAGUUUCUGUUGUAAGACAAAAAUCUAGUCAUCAUUUGCAUUGUAAUGAACUGCACAAGAGACCGUUCAAAAACAAACUGCGCUGUGAAAUAUUGUUAAUAAAAUCAUUUUCAAGGAU
rnacentral:misc_RNA from 1 species